GCCUAUAAUGAUAAAAUUAGGGAUAAAGAUACCUAUAUUAGCUUUGUUUCAUUUAUAUACUCAUGCUAUAUUUAAGGCUUUGUUGUUUUUAUGAGGGGGUAAUAUUAUUCAUUGUUAUUGUGGUGCUCAGGAUAUUUGAGAUAUUAAAGGAGUUAGGUAUAAUUUACCUUUCGCUAGGAUUAUUCUUCACAUUUCGAAUAUGGCGUUAUGUGGGUUUCCAUUUUUAGCUGGGUUUUAUUCAAAAGAUUUGAUUAUUAAAAUUUUAUUGAGUAGAGAUAUAAAUAUGUUGAUUGGUAUAUUUGGCUUAUUUGGGGUGUGUUUAACUAUAUUAUAUUCAAUACGUAUAUCUAUGUAUGUAGUAUGAGGAGAUCGUAAGAGCGUU